rnacentral:rRNA from 1 species
CCUACGGGCGGCAGCAGUGGGGAAUAUUGCACAAUGGGCGCAAGCCUGAUGCAGCCAUGCCGCGUGUGUGAAGAAGGCCUUCGGGUUGUAAAGCACUUUCAGCGGGGAGGAAGGCGGUGAGGUUAAUAACCUCAUCGAUUGACGUUACCCGCAGAAGAAGCACCGGCUAACUCCGUGCCAGCAGCCGCGGUAAUACGGAGGGUGCAAGCGUUAAUCGGAAUUACUGGGCGUAAAGCGCACGCAGGCGGUCUGUCAAGUCGGAUGUGAAAUCCCCGGGCUCAACCUGGGAACUGCAUUCGAAACUGGCAGGAUAGAGUGUUGUAGAGGGGGGUAGAAUUCCAGGUGUAGCGGUGAAAUGCGUAGAGAUCUGGAGGAAUACCGGUGGCGAAGGCGGCCCCCUGGACAAAGACUGACGCUCAGGUGCGAAAGCGUGGGGAGCAAACAGGAUUAGAUACCCUAGUAGUC